rnacentral:rRNA from 1 species
GACGAACGCUGGCGGCGUGCUUAACACAUGCAAGUCGAACGGAAAGGCCCUGCUUUUGUGGGGUGCUCGAGUGGCGAACGGGUGUGUAACACGUGAGUAACCUGCCCUUCACUUUGGUAUAACUUCAGGAAACUGGGGCUAAUACCGGAUAGGAGCUCCUGCUGCAUGGUGUGGUUUGGAAAGUUUCGGCGGUUGGGGAUGGACUCGCGGCUUAUCAGCUUGUUGGUGGGGUAGUGGCUUACCAAGGCUUUGACGGGUAGCCGGCCUGAGAGGGUGACCGGCCACAUUGGGACUGAGAUACGGCCCAGACUCCUACGGGAGGCAGCAGUGGGGAAUAUUGCACAAUGGGCGGAAGCCUGAUGCAGCAACGCCGCGUGCGGGAUGACGGCCUUCGGGUUGUAAACCGCUUUCGCCUGUGACGAAGCGUGAGUGACGGUAAUGGGUAAAGAAGCACCGGCUAACUACGUG